GUUCUACUCCCUCCAUUCGGAAUUACAUGUCGCACAAAUGGAUGUAUCUAGACGUAUUUUAGUUCUAGAUACAUCCAUAUAUGAGACAAUUAAUUCCGAACGGAGGGAGUAGUUG
rfam:Triticum aestivum genome assembly, contig: Triticum_aestivum_CS42_TGACv1_scaffold_374143_5AL